UACGUAGGUGGCAAGCGUUGUCCGGAAUUAUUGGGCGUAAAGCGCGCGCAGGUGGUUUCUUAAGUCUGAUGUGAAAGCCCACGGCUCAACCGUGGAGGGUCAUUGGAAACUGGGGAACUUGAGUGCAGAAGAGGAAAGUGGAAUUCCAAGUGUAGCGGUGAAAUGCGUAGAGAUGUGGAGGAACACCAGUGGCGAAGGCGACUCUUUGGUCUGUAACUGACGCUGAGGCGCGAAAGCGUGGGGAGCAAACAGG
rnacentral:rRNA from 1 species